GCGCUCACUUUGGCAGCAUAUAUACUAAAAUUGUAACAAUGCAGAGGUGAUUGGCAUGGCCUCUGUGCAAGGAUGACAUGCAAAUUUGUGAAGAAUUCCAUAUUAAA